rnacentral:tRNA from 2 species
GGGUUGUUAGCUCAGUUGGUAGAGCAGCGGACUCUUAAUCCGUUGGUCGCGGGUUCGACCCCCUCACAACCCACCA